rnacentral:rRNA from 1 species
AUUGAACGCUGGCGGCAGGCCUAACACAUGCAAGUCGAGCGAGCGGCGGACGGGUGAGUAAUGUCUGGGAAACUGCCUGAGGGAGGGGGAUAACUACUGGAAACGGUAGCUAUUACCGCAUACCAUCAGAGGUGCCCAGAUGGGAUUAGCGAGUAGGUGGGGUAUCGGCUCACCUAGGCGACGAUCCCUAGCUGGUCUGAGAGGAUGCGCAGCAACACUGGCACUGAGACACGGUCCAGACUGCUACGGGAGGCAGAAGUGGGGAAUAUUGCACAAUGGGCGAAAGCCUGAUGCAGCCAUGCCGCGUGUGUGAAGAAGGCCUUCGGGUUGUAAAGUACUUUCAGCGGGGAGGCGUUACCCGCAGAAGAAGCACCGGCUAACUCCGUGCCAGCAGGCGCGGUAAUUC